GCGAUUCGACAUGAUCUGAUUUAUUUAUUUUUUUGUUGUUUAUUUUAGUUAUUUUUUUAUUUUAUUGAAGAAUCAUUUAUUGUUAUUGUAUUUUUUUGAUUUAAUUUUUAUUACGAUAGUUUAUUUUUACCGUGAGGGGUUAUAUUUAUUAUUUUUGUGGAAGUAGGUUUUGUUUGUCGUACCUUGUGUAUCAGGGUUCAUUGAAUUUUAUUAUUUAUUUUUAUUUCCCGAUUUUAAAGGAGUUAAUGAUUUAUAUUAUUUACUGUUUCAUUAGUAUUAAUAAUAAGUUGUUGGUAGUGAAAUGUUAUUCGUCUUUAGUGGUUUCUGGUUUUUCAAGAAAUGAAUUUAAUUCAUACAUUUUAUUUAAUUUCUGUUUUGUUUCUAUUUAUUUUUAUUUAAUGUUAAGAUUAAGGGGGAUUAGCUCCUUAUUUUAUGAUUAUAAUUGGUUAUUUCAAUUUAGUUUUGUGGAUUUUAUAGUGAUUUUCAAUUUGAUUAUGUUAAAAUUUUAUUUUUUCUUUUGUCUAUUUUGUUUUUAGUUUAAUUUUUUUAUUGGAAUGUUAGCUUUAUUUUUGUUUUGUUUAGUAAUUAUUGUGUAAUUAGUAAAUCUUGCUUUUAUUGUUGUAUUAGGUUAGUUGAUGUUAAUUUCUUUUUAGGAAUUCGGCAAAUUUUUCAUGUCCGCCUGUUUAACAAAAACAUCUUUUCUUGUUAGUUUUUGAAGUAUGGCCUGCCCACUGACUUAUUUGUUGAAGGGCCGCGGUAUUUUGACCGUGCAAAGGUAGCAUAAUCAUUAGUUCUUUAAUUGUGAUCUGGUAUGAAUGGCUUGACGAGACGUGAGCUGUCUUAGAGGUAUUAUUUAUUGAAUUUAGUUUUUGAGUUAAAAUUCUUAAAUGUUUUUAUGGGACGAGAAGACCCUAUAGAGUUUAACAUUUGUUCUUUUUAUUUUUAUUGUUUGUUUCUUGUUUUAGUUGGUAUUAAUGUUUUGUUGGGGUGAUGGGAGGAAUUUUUUUAACUCCUCUUUGUUUUUGUAUAUUGAUUUAUAUUUAUUUUGAUCCAUUUAUUUUGAUUAUAAGAUUAAAUUACCUUAGGGAUAACAGCGUUAUCUUUCCUGAGAGUUCUUAUUGGCGGGAAGGUUUGCGACCUCGAUGUUGGAUUAAGGUUAAUUUUCGGUGCAGGAGCUGAAAGUGAUUAGGUCUGUUCGACCUUUAAAAUCUUACAUGAUCUGAGUUCAGACCGGCGUGAGCCAGGUUGGUUUCUAUCUAUAAUAUUUAUUUAUACCUUAGUACGAGAGGACCGGGUAUUUGAAAUAAUUUUAUUUUAUUUGAUUUUUAUUAAUAUGAUUACUAUUUUGGCAGAUAAGUGCAUUGGAUUUAGAAUCUAUUAA
rnacentral:rRNA from 1 species